GCUAUCGCGGUGUCAGGAUGCGCGGUAUUGCGGAGGGGGCAGUCGUUAUGCUGAUUUGGUGGGUUUCAAGGGUCCGUAGUGUGACUUGUAAGUCAGUGGGGAAAGCCUGUCGCUUAACGAUAGAACUGUCAUUGAUCCUGUAAGUCUUGAGUAUAUUUGAGGGAGUGGGAAUAAGUAGUGUAGCGGUUAAAUGCAUAGAUAUUACUUAGAACACCAAGUGCUAAGGCAGGUUACCAAGAUAUAACUGACGCUGAGGGACGAAAGCGUGGGGAGCGAACAGGAUUAGAUACCCCGGUAGUC
rnacentral:rRNA from 1 species